GAAGCAAACGAGGGGAACUGAAACAUCUAAGUACCCUUAGGAAAAGAAAUCAACCGAGAUUCCCCAAGUAGCGGCGAGCGAACGGGGAGCAGCCGAGUAAUUAUGAAGUAGUGGAAUGUGUUGGAAAGCACAGCGAUACAGGGUGAUAGCCCCGUACACGAAGCGUCAUAGUUGCCAUAUUAAGUAGGUCGGGACACGUGUUAUCCUGACUGAAGAUGGGGGGACCAUCCUCCAAGGCUAAAUACUCCUAACUGACCGAUAGUGAACUAGUACCGUGAGGGAAAGGCGAAAAGAACCCCUGUGAGGGGAGUGAAAUAGAACCUGAAACCGUAUACGUACAAGCAGUAGGAGCCC
rnacentral:rRNA from 1 species